CACCACUCAAGCCUCGCUUGGUAUUGGGCGCCGCGGCCUCGUCCGCGCGCCUCGAAAUCUCCGGCUGAGCCGUCCGUCUCCCCGCGUUGUGACUAUAUGUUUCGCGACGGAGCACGGGCGACCCCGGCCGUUAAAUCUCAUCAAA
rnacentral:misc_RNA from 2 species